rnacentral:rRNA from 1 species
GAUGAACGCUGGCUACAGGCUUAACACAUGCAAGUCGAGGGGAAACGACGGGGAAGCUUGCUUCCCCGGGCGUCGACCGGCGCACGGGUGAGUAACGCGUAUCCAACCUGCCUCUGACUGAGGGAUAACCCGGCGAAAGUCGGCCUAAUACCUCAUGGUAUCGUCUGCGGGCAUCCAACGACGAUUAAAGAUUUCAUCGGUCAGGGAUGGGGAUGCGUCUGAUUAGCUUGUUGGCGGGGUAACGGCCCACCAAGGCUACGAUCAGUAGGGGUUCUGAGAGGAAGGUCCCCCACAUUGGAACUGAGACACGGUCCAAACUCCUACGGGAGGCAGCAGUGAGGAAUAUUGGUCAAUGGGCGAGAGCCUGAACCAGCCAAGUAGCGUGCAGGAAGACGGCCCUAUGGGUUGUAAACUGCUUUUAUGCGGGGAUAAAGUGAGGGACGUGUCCCUCAUUGCAGGUACCGAAUGAAUAAGGACCGGCUAAUUCCGUG